rnacentral:sRNA from 1 species
ACGACGUGGAACGCCGAGGCAUCGGGCCGCGGGCGGGUCCCACCUGCCCCUUCUCCCCGCCUGCGGGGAGAAGGUCGCGGCAG